GAUUAACGCUGGCGGCGCACAUAAGACAUGCAAGUCGAACGGACUUAAUCGAUUCUUUUAGAUUCGAAGCGGUUAGUGGCGGACUGGUGAGUAACACGUAAGCAACCUGCCUAUUAGAGGGGAAUAACAGUGAGAAAUCAUUGCUAAUACCGCAUAAGCUAGAGACACCGCAUGGAGUAGCUAGAAAAGGAGAAAUCCGCUAAUAGAUGGGCUUGCGUCCGAUUAGCCAGUUGGUGGGGUAACGGCCUACCAAAGCGACGAUCGGUAGCCGAGCUGAGAGGCUCAACGGCCACAUUGGGACUGAGAUACGGCCCAGACUCCUACGGGAGGCAGCAGUCGGGAAUAUUGCGCAAUGGAGGGAACCCUGACGCAGUGACGCCGCGUAUAGGAAGAAGGUCUUCGGAUUGUAAACUCCUGUUGUUGGGGAAAAGAAGGAUGGUACCCAACAAGGAAGUGACGGCUAACUACGUGCCAGCAGCCGCGGUAAAACGUAGGUCACGAGCGUUGUCCGGAAUUACUGGGUGUAAAGGGAGCGCAGGCGGGUAUGCAAGUUGGGAGUGAAAUACAUGGGCUCAACCCAUGAACUGCUCUCAAAACUGUGUAUCUUGAGUAGUGCAGAGGUAGGCGGAAUUCCCGGUGUAGCGGUGGAAUGCGUAGAUAUCGGGAGGAACACCAGUGGCGAAGGCGGCCUACUGGGCACCAACUGACGCUGAGGCUCGAAAGUGUGGGUAGCAAACAGGAUUAGAUACCCUGGUAGUCCACACCGUAAACGAUGAUUACUAGGUGUUGGAGGAUAGACCCCUUCAGUGCCGCAGUUAACACAAUAAGUAAUCCACCUGGGGAGUACGACCGCAAGGUUGAAACUCAAAGGAAUUGACGGGGGCCCGCACAAGCAGUGGAGUAUGUGGUUUAAUUCGACGCAACGCGAAGAACCUUACCAAGUCUUGACAUCCUCUGACGAUGCUGGAAACAGUAUUUUCCUUCGGGACAGAGAGACAGGUGGUGCAUGGUUGUCGUCAGCUCGUGUCGUGAGAUGUUGGGUUAAGUCCCGCAACGAGCGCAACCCUUAUGGAUAGUUACUACGCAAGAGGACUCUAUUCAGACUGCCGUUGACAAAACGGAGGAAGGUGGGGAUGACGUCAAAUCAUCAUGCCCUUUAUGACUUGGGCUACACACGUACUACAAUGGCGUUCAACAAAGAGAAGCGAAAUCGCGAGAUGGAGCAAAACUCAAAAACAACGUCCCAGUUCAGAUUGCAGGCUGCAACUCGCCUGCAUGAAGUCGGAAUUGCUAGUAAUCGCAGAUCAGCAUGCUGCGGUGAAUACGUUCCCGGGCCUUGUACACACCGCCCGUCACACCAUGAGAGCCGGGGGGACCCGAAGUCGGCAGUCUAACCGCAAGGAGGACGCCGCCGAAGGUAAAACUGGUGAUUGGGGCUA
rnacentral:rRNA from 1 species